AUCAGGAAGUCGUUGUGGGGUAGGUUCUCAAACCCCCACUACGACUUAAUGCGUUCACGGCUUACAGAACCAUGUCAUAUCUCUUCAAAUAUUUGACCUUGGGUAUACAGAGGAAUCUAAACUCGUGGGAGGACAGGUGAUAUGGCUAAAUGGAGCGAA
rnacentral:ribozyme from 1 species